AGGCGUCAACCACCAUGCCUGGCCUCAAGAAAAUAUCUUGAAAGAUCACAGACUGGGAAACAGGCAUGGAAAAAAAAAAAUGGAUAUCUGAGGAGCCAGGGAACUUUCUUUACCUCCUGGUAUCAUUCCAUGAGAAUUACUAGCACCUGCACAAUGGGGCCUUAGAGAGAGGAAUAAAAGGAAAAAUCUGGAAUGGAACCACAUGACGCAACAGCCUACUCGGACUCCCUGCCCAGCUGCUGUAUGUCUGGGAAACAGAAUAAAUAGCACUUGAGCAUCCCUGA